rnacentral:rRNA from 1 species
GAACUACAUAAGAGGUCCAGCCUGCCCAGUGACUCUGUUCAACGGCCGCGGUAUCCUAACCGUGCGAAGGUAGCGUAAUCACUUGUUCAUUAAUUGUGGACUAGUAUGAAUGGCACCACGAGGGUUAUACUGUCUCCUUUUUCUAAUCAGUGAAACUAAUCUCUCCGUGAAGAAGCGGGGAUAAAAUUAUAAGACGAGAAGACCCUAUGGAGCUUUAAACAACAUGGCAAUUACCCCAGAAUAUGAAAGGUUUGAGAACUGUUUAACUCUUAAAAUAAUUUGACCAUGAGUUUUUGGUUGGGGUGACCGCGGAGCACAAUACAACCUCCAUGCUGAAAUGAUGAAUAUUUAAGCUGAGACUUACAUGUCUAGGCAUCAGCAUACUGACAUUUAUUGACCCAAUAUAUUUGAACAACGAACCAAGUUACCCUAGGGAUAACAGCGCAAUCCACUUCAAGAGCUCCUAUCGACAAGUGGGUUUACGACCUCGAUGUUGGAUCAGGGUAUCCCAGUGGUGCAGCCGCUACUAAAGGUUCGUUUGUUCAACGAUUAAAACCCUACGUGAUCUGAGUUCA